rnacentral:rRNA from 1 species
AGAGUUUGAUUCUGGCUCAGAUUGAACGCUAGCGGGAUGCCUUACACAUGCAAGUCGAACGGCAGCACGGACUUCGGGUCUGGGUGGCGAGUGGCGAACGGGUGAGUAAUGUAUCGGAACGUGCCCAGUAGCGGGGGAUAACUACGCGAAAGCGUAGCUAAUACCGCAUACGCCCUACGGGGGAAAGCAGGGGAUCGUUAAGACCUUGCACUAUUGGAGCGGCCGAUAGUCCGAUUAGCUAGUUGGUGAGAUAACAGCCCACCAAGGCGACGAUCGGUAGCCGACCUGAGAGGGUGAUCGGCCACAUUGGAACUGAGAGACGGUCCAGACUCCUACGGGAGGCAGCAGUGGGGAAUAUUGGGCAAUGGGCCGAAAGCCUGACCCAGCAACGCCGCGUGAGGGAAGAAGGGUUUCGGCUCGUUAAACCUCUGUCCUAAAGGGCGAAUAAAGUGACGGUACUUUAGGAGGAAGCCCCGGCUAACUACGUGCCAGCAGCUGC